GUCUGGAGAUGAAUAAACCCCUCUUCCGUACGCCUGACGGCCUCCCGCCUUGAAGUGAGUCUGUACGAUGCCCUCGGCCCCCUUUAAAUCGGUUCCGUGGUAGGAGACGGGCCACUCGCCGGGCACUGAACGGCUCCUCCAUCCGUAUGUUCCCAGCCAAGCGUUCCCGUCUGGAUAUUUGUCCCGGACCUUCAGAGCAAAGCGCAUCCAGCCGUAGGGCCGCUUGUACGGCUCGUCCCCGCGUGUGCACUCAUCAGACUUUGACUCGGACAUGUUCGUGAAGUCAAAGUCAAACUUUGGGAUCGGAAGGGCGUC